UGGGGAAUAUUGCACAAUGGGCGCAAGCCUGAUGCAGCCAUGCCGCGUGAGUGACGAAGGCCUUAGGGUUGUAAAGCUCUUUCAGCGGGGAAGAUAAUGACGGUACCCGCAGAAGAAGCCCCGGCUAACUCCGUGCCAGCAGCCGCGGUAAUACGGAGGGGGCAAGCGUUGUUCGGAAUUACUGGGCGUAAAGCGCGCGUAGGCGGCCUAGCAAGUCAGGGGUGAAAUCCCGAGGCUCAACCUCGGAAUUGCCUUUGAGACUGCAAGGCUCGAGUCCGGGAGAGGUGAGUGGAAUUCCUAGUGUAGAGGUGAAAUUCGUAGAUAUUAGGAAGAACACCAGUGGCGAAGGCGGCUCACUGGCCCGGUACUGACGCUGAGGCGCGAAAGCGUGGGGAGCAAACAGG
rnacentral:rRNA from 1 species